GUGGGGAAUCUUGCGCAAUGGGCGAAAGCCUGACGCAGCCAUGCCGCGUGAAUGAUGAAGGUCUUAGGAUUGUAAAAUUCUUUCACCGGGGACGAUAAUGACGGUACCCGGAGAAGAAGCCCCGGCUAACUUCGUGCCAGCAGUCGCGGUAAUACGAAGGGGGCUAGCGUUGCUCGGAAUUACUGGGCGUAAAGGGCGCGUAGGCGGACAGUUUAGUCAGAGGUGAAAGCCCAGGGCUCAACCUUGGAAUUGCCUUUGAUACUGGCUGUCUUGAGUACGGGAGAGGUGAGUGGAACUCCGAGUGUAGAGGUGAAAUUCGUAGAUAUUCGGAAGAACACCAGUGGCGAAGGCGACUCACUGGCUCAUUACUGACGCUGAGGCUCGAAAGCGUGGGGAGCAAACAGGAUUAGAAACCCCGGUAGUCC
rnacentral:rRNA from 1 species